UAGCAUUUGGCGGCGUGCUAUACAUGCAGUCGAGCGAACAGAUAAGGAGCUUGCUCCUUUGAAGUUAGCGGCGGACGGGUGAGUAACACGUGGGUAACCUACCUAUAAGACUGGGAUAACUUCGGGAAACCGGAGCUAAUACCGGAUAACAUUUAGAACCGCAUGGUUCUAAAGUGAAAGAUGGUUUUGCUAUCACUUAUAGAUGGACCCGCGCCGUAUUAGCUAGUUGGUAAGGUAACGGCUUACCAAGGCGACGAUACGUAGCCGACCUGAGAGGGUGAUCGGCCACACUGGAACUGAGACACGGUCCAGACUCCUACGGGAGGCAGCAGUAGGGAAUCUUCCGCAAUGGGCGAAAGCCUGACGGAGCAACGCCGCGUGAGUGAUGAAGGGUUUCGGCUCGUAAAACUCUGUUAUUAGGGAAGAACAAAUGUGUAAGUAACUGUGCACAUCUUGACGGUACCUAAUCAGAAAGCCACGGCUAACUACGUGCCAGCAGCCGCGGUAAUACGUAGGUGGCAAGCGUUAUCCGGAAUUAUUGGGCGUAAAGCGCGCGUAGGCGGUUUCUUAAGUCUGAUGUGAAAGCCCACGGCUCAACCGUGGAGGGUCAUUGGAAACUGGGAAACUUGAGUGCAGAAGAGGAAAGUGGAAUUCCAUGUGUAGCGGUGAAAUGCGCAGAGAUAUGGAGGAACACCAGUGGCGAAGGCGACUUUCUGGUCUGUAACUGACGCUGAUGUGCGAAAGCGUGGGGAUCAAACAGGAUUAGAUACCCUGGUAGUCCACGCCGUAAACGAUGAGUGCUAAGUGUUAGGGGGUUUCCGCCCCUUAGUGCUGCAGCUAACGCAUUAAGCACUCCGCCUGGGGAGUACGACCGCAAGGUUGAAACUCAAAGGAAUUGACGGGGACCCGCACAAGCGGUGGAGCAUGUGGUUUAAUUCGAAGCAACGCGAAGAACCUUACCAAAUCUUGACAUCCUUUGAAAACUCUAGAGAUAGAGCCUUCCCCUUCGGGGGACAAAGUGACAGUGGUGCAUGGGUUGUCGUCAGCUCGUGUCGUGAGAUGUGGGUAGUCCCGCACGAGCGCACCUUAGCUAGCUGCAUCAUAGUGGGCACUCUAGUGACUGCGUGACAACGAGAGGUGGAUGACGUCCAUCAUCAUGCCCUUAGAUUGCUACACGUGCUACAUGGACAAUCAAGGGCAGCUAAACCCGCC
rnacentral:rRNA from 1 species